UGGGGAAUAUUGGACAAUGGGGGCAACCCUGAUCCAGCCAUGCCGCGUGUGUGAAGAAGGCCUUUUGGUUGUAAAGCACUUUAAGCAGUGAAGAAGACUCCAUGGUUAAUACCCAUGGACGAUGACAUUAGCUGCAGAAUAAGCACCGGCUAACUCUGUGCCAGCAGCCGCGAUAAUACAGAGGGUGCAAGCGUUAAUCGGAAUUACUGGGCGUAAAGCGAGCGUAGGUGGCUUGAUAAGUCAGAUGUGAAAGCCCCGGGCUUAACCUGGGAACGGCAUCUGAUACUGUUAGGCUAGAGUAGGUGAGAGGAAGGUAGAAUUCCAGGUGUAGCGGUGAAAUGCGUAGAGAUCUGGAGGAAUACCGAUGGCGAAGGCAGCCUUCUGGCAUCAUACUGACACUGAGGUUCGAAAGCGUGGGUAGCAAACA
rnacentral:rRNA from 1 species